AUUUUCACCACCUACAGUGUCUAACCAGCCUCCUCUCUGAUAUGCAAAAUUAUGAUGACUUGGAAAGCUCAAAGAGAAGUGUCUGGAAUCAGAAUUGCUUGGUGGAAAGGCAAAGCAGGAGGACCCACAUUGGAUUAUAAACCUCUCUGGAAGAAAAUCUUACUCAGGAGGCAAACAGACUUCUUCCCAUGAACACUAGGCUAGAAACAACCCAUUAAACCCAUCAAGUGGAGAAUAGGAAAUGAGAAAGAAGACAAUGGACUCUACAUAGAAAACAUCUAUCUACAAACAUGAGCAGCUGCCUGGAGCCCUAUCCAUCAUCCACAUUCAGGUUCCCACGAUCAAUGCCACAGUCAGUCAUUGGCCAUCCUUGAAACACCAGAAUCAUUAUGAACAAACACCAGAGACUCACAGAUUGAAUUCCUCUUACUGCUCCAGAGGCCAGCAAUGCCAAACAUACAGGAUGCACAAAAAUUGCUUUAUGAGAUUGCUGAUUCUCUGAGACCAGCUACAUCCUUUUCUUGAAUCUUAUCUUUCUCAUCUACUUCUCUGACUCCAGAGCUUUUCUAUAAUAAUGUUUUGAGCUGAAAGUACACUAUAUUUCAGAUCUCCCUUUAAUAUUUUGGUUAAGAUGAAAAUCAUGUCUCUCAAGAGGGAGAAUAUCCAAAUUUGAAUCUUGACCUUUAUUUGGAUUCCCGGAGUAACUUUGUGAAAACUCUCUUAUUCUCCCAUUCCCCAUUCCAUUAUUUAUAAAAUAA
rnacentral:lncRNA from 1 species